GUGAUGCGGUAGAGGAGCGUUCUGUAAGCCUGUGAAGGUGAGUUGAGAAGCUUGCUGGAGGUAUCAGAAGUGCGAAUGCUGACAUGAGUAACGAUAAUGGGUGUGAAAAACACCCACGCCGAAAGACCAAGGUUUCCUGCGCAACGUUAAUCGACGCAGGGUUAGUCGGUCCCUAAGGCGAGGCUGAAAAGCGUAGUCGAUGGAAAACAGGUUAAUAUUCCUGUACUUCUGGUUAUUGCGAUGGAGGGACGGAGAAGGCUAGGCCAGCUUGGCGUUGGUUGUCCAAGUUUAAGGUGGUAGGCUGGAAUCUUAGGUAAAUCCGGGAUUCUAAGGCCGAGAGCUGAUGACGAGUUAUCUUUUAGAUGACGAAGUGG
rnacentral:rRNA from 1 species